rnacentral:lncRNA from 1 species
AGCAAUUGUAUUAGUUUCACUACUCCUUUUUGUUCAGACUGUGUUGAAAGGAAACUACUCAUGCUCUCAUUUUUGUGGUUGCUGGUUGUAGUACAAAACAGCUCUGCACAGUUUGUGUUGGGGCGAGGGUUCAUUUACAUGUGGGUUGUUUGGUUCUGCCCUGAAAUCUUGUAAAAACCUUAACAUGACUGGGAAUAAGCUCCAGAGGCUGUGAAUCAAUCCAGGACAGCAUCACCCCAGGUCUGUUGAUCAGCAUCUGUGUUAUCCCCACUCCCUCCAGAAAUGUCCUUGAUGGCCUUUUGCUUGCAGCUGAUGCCAGGGAGAUUGAAGAUCACCAGAGGCACCAAUGGCAGUGACUGAAGAACCCCAGCAACACUGUCAUACAACAGAAGCACUCUAGCUCAGAGUUAGCAGUUGAGGGUAUAAGACAGUGCCAAGAGGACCUUCCUCAGGGAUCAGAUGUACUCUCUGAAAAUAAACUGUGCAGAGGAACAGAGAGUG